UAUGAUGUCAUACACGAUGGGUUAAUUCUGGCCGAAAACGUAAUUUUUAAGUAGUUAGUUACAUUAAGUGAACCAGUAUUAUGCUGAGGCUUUUAUAGGAAUGACAAUAAAAUAAUUAAUUACAGUAUAAACUGCAGAAAAUGGAUUUGAAACUACGGAAAAUUUCCAGCAUGAAAGUUUCAGGAACAAGAAAAAGUCACAGGGGCCAGAUCUGGGCUAUACGGUAGCUGCAGCAUUAUUAGUGUGUUACUUUUGGCCAAAAAUUCGCGCACAAACAACGACGUGUGAGCAGGGAGGUUAUGGUGCAAAAGUCAAUUUUUGUUCUUUCACAAAUCCGGGCUUUUUUGGAGGAUUACUUCGCUUAACUUGCAGGGAAAAACGUUGGCUGGAGUUCCAAGAACCAGAAUUUUCCGAUUAGCUUCAAAUUUUUAUCAGGGACUACGCUACACUGGAUUAAGAUAUUUAUCUAAAAGGAUUUUGAGCGGUUCAAACUGAAAGAGAUAUUCGAAUGAAUAGUAGUGGAUUUUCUGCCAUGAAAGGGGCCAACCGAAAAAUAUGAAGCUGGGAAUGUGAUCUGAUCGAUGUUGGUGGUUUACUUUUAGUAAUCGAGUUCAUGAGUUGUGACGUAGUCCUCCCGUUUUCCAUCAAACUCCAAAACAAUGGAUGGCAUUUGCGAUUUGUCUGAUUGGUGUGAAUGGAUUUCUUUUUAUUUGGCCUUUAGUUUAUAAUUCGUCUUAAUAACGUCUUAACAAAUGUGGAUUUAUUGAACAAAAUUUAUGUUACAUAACUUACAGUUGUUUCUUUUUUAAAGUAUUCCUGUUAUUUUAAUUUAACAGUUAAUGAUUGUCUAGCACUUCCUUGUAAACGAUUUUUUUGAAUUGUAUUUAACUAAAGAAAAGUCGUUGUUAUUUUUUACUGUCUUACCUUAGCAAAUGAAUUAUGAUCUCAUAUGAAAUAUUUAUUUGUCUUUUAUGCAUUUUUGUUUAGUUUGUAUUUCAGGUUUAUUCACUCAAUAGUUUUUGUAACGAAUUCUUCAGUAGU